rnacentral:sRNA from 1 species
GGGAUACUUCCUCGCCGCCCGCGGCAGCGUCGAGCCGAUGCUGUUGCUGGCCACGGUCAUCGGCCUGUCGCUGGUGGUCGCCAGUGGGUGCGUGCUGAACAACUGCAUCGACCGCGACAUCGACCGGCACAUGGAGCGGAC